CCCUCUCCCACGAUGAGUGGUCCAAUGUCCGCCUCUCGCGGGCGUCCAUGAAGGCAGCGCCGGUCCAUUCUGAGUGAUCGCGUCUCCCCGGGGAGACUCAACCGAGAGAUGAACUAGGACAAGCGGAUCAUGGCGGCGCCUCUGGACCGGGACUCCCUGCCCGAACACUGGACGUACGGCGUGUGCGGGGACGGGAGGGUCUUCUUCAUCAACGACCGUACGCGGGAAACCACCUGGCUGCACCCCCGCUCCGCCGAGCCGGUCAACUCGGGACAUAUGAUCCGCUCAGACCUGCCCAAAGGAUGGGAGGAAGGCUUCACGGACGAAGGAGCGAGCUACUUUAUCGAUCAUAACCAGAGAAGCACCACCUUUCGUCAUCCCGUAACCGGGCAGGUUUCUCCAGAGAGCGUGGAUUUUAUCCUUCAAGAACAACUGCCAGGUCCUCGCGUGAUGCCCCAACCCGGCAUCGAGCAGCUCUCCAGCACCACCGUCAGCGAGGUCUCCACCCUCACCACCUCCUCCACUGUGGAUGCCGCCUCCACCUCCAAGGUCACUGGUUCUCGCGCUGGCGGCAGCAGGGUGCACAGUUUCGGCAAGCGAGACCAGGCCAUCAAGAGGAACCCCAAUGUGCCUGUUGUGGUCCGAGGAUGGUUGUACAAACAGGACAGCUCCGGCAUGCGUCUUUGGAAGAGGAAGUGGUUUGUCUUGGCCGAUUUCUGUCUCUUCUACUAUAAAGACAGCAGAGAGGAGGCGGUCCUCGGCAGCAUUCCACUUCCCAGCUAUGUCAUUUCACCCGUGGGACCCGAGGAUCACAUCAACCGAAAGUAUGCCUUCAAGGCCGGCCACACUGGAACAUGCUCGUACGUUUACAAACGCAGCUCUGUAAUUGGCUCUCAGGCAGAGCACACGGGCAUGCGGACAUACUACUUCAGCGCCGACACGCAGGAGGACAUGAACACCUGGCUGAGGGCCAUGAACCAGGCUGCCAAUUUGAGCGGUCCCGUCAACACCGGCAUCAGAGCAUCUGACCAGUCAGAUCACUUCCCCAUGAUGCGUCAUCAGACUGUCACACACACCAAUCAUAUCAACCACAAGGCUCCUGAACCCCAGCGACCCACCGUCCACGAGGUUCUCCUGGAGCCCAUACAUCUCAACCAAGACGACCGCUGCAGCUUCCACAAAGACUCUCCCGUCGCCGUGGAGAUGGACACCCACGCCUCCCUGCCCGCCAACCCCACGGCCGCCGCCCUCCUGCCGCCGGGCCAGGCGUCCUCAUCAGCGCCCGUGUCCAGGGUGCCGUCUCGAGCGCCCUCACGGUCUGCCUCCACGCUGCCUUCGGGCGUUGGUGCAAGAAACGGCCUGGCGGAGACGCCGAGCCCCAUCUUGGAGCCUAACGGAAUCGCGGCGGGGACGUACCAAAGGGCCCCGGAAGCCCCUCAGGAGAUGAGGAGGAGGAGUACUCUGGAGCAGGUGGAGCAGUGGGUCAAGGUGCAGAAAGCUGAACACAAAGGUCCUCCAACCCGAGAAAACACACUCCCCCGUCGAACGCCGCCCUCCCAACCCAAGUUUGGCACCCUGGACACACACCAGACCCUGCCAAAGACGCCCCGCCACAGCCCCCCGCUGGCACGCCACAGCGAGUACAAGUACGCCCAGGACCGCCUGAGCCACUUCCGCCUCACCCCUGAGCUUGGCGGCCCUAGUUCCAACACCGUCCUGCAGCUGUACGAGUGGCAGCAGCGGCAGCAGUACCGUCACGGUAGCCCCACUGCGCCCCUCUACACACCGGCCCCGGACUACCCUUUUGGCGCCAGGCCGCCGGCCGCCAAGCACAGUGGGCCGCCACGUUGCGUGUCUGUACCGCCUUCGCCCGCCGACAUCCCGCCUCCAGGGCCUCCGCCGGGCACCAGCAGGACCUUGUCGCCCGCCCGCCGCCCGCACACGCCGGCUGACCGUGUGACAGUGAGACCCAUAGUUGAUGCGUCGGUGGUGGACACCCCCUUUGCCAUUUCACCUCGCAGGACCAAGUCUCAAGUCUUCAAGCCAUCCACCAUCGAGAGGCGCUCGCUGCCUCCGUCCAACUACAUCACGCACACGGUCAGCGCGCCAAGCCUCCACGGCAAAACGGUGGACGACACGUACAAGCAGCUGAAGCAGGACCUGGACUAUCUGGACCUGAAGGUGGCUGGAAGUAAAAUGCUAAAGGAGUCGGGGAUGCCCGUUAAGGUCGCUGAGAGCGAUGUGGAUGUGAAACUGAGUCGGUUGUGCGAGCAAAACAAGAUCCUGAAAGAUUUGGAAAUGCGGAUCAGCGCACUGAAGCAGGAUAAGGACAAGCUGGAGAGCGUGCUGGACGUGUGCCACCAGCAGAUGGAGCUGUUUCAUGAGCAGCCCGCCCAUGUGCACAAGAUCGCCUACCAGCAGAGACUGCUGCAGGAAGACCUGGUCUCCAUCAGGGCCCAGAUAUCCCGACUCUCCACGGAAAUGACGCACGCUUGGGAGGAGUAUGGUUGGCUGGAGAGUUCGGUGGAGCAGCUGAGGGCAGUGAUGCAAGCUCGCAUGAAUCUCAGUGCCACCUUGCAGCAAGAAAAGGCUGAGUUGAAGCGUGAGCUGUGGAGGAUCGAGGACGUGAUGGCGGGACUCAGUGGCAGCAAAGCCAACUACAAAGUCACCAUCGACUCUGUGCAGAACCCAGAGAGGAAGUUAGUGCCUUCCGUGUCGGAGCCCAGCGUGCCUUCUUCCAGCGCCGACGUCCAGCCGCCUCCCCGUAGCUGCGUCCCAAGCGUCUUCUCGCAAACGUUGCCUCCCAACUUUGUGUCAAAGUGGGGAGAGGACGGUGCUCCGCCCCGGCCGCCGCUCCCUCACCUGUACGACUACGAGGAGACGGCGCCCACCGUGCCGCCGCUGCCCAAGGAGGCGUCGGCGGUCAUCCGCCACACGUCGGUGCGAGGCCUCAAGCGGCAGUCUGACGAGAAGAAGAGAGACCGGGAAGGCGGACACUACGUCUUCAAUGGAGACUGUAAGACUGAUUUGCGUUCGUUCCUGAGCGAACCCGAGCUGCCAGCCAUCACUCAACACAACGCCGACACAGACUUCUACUAUCCUGACCAUAAGGGUCGGUCGGGCGCGUCAUGGCGGACGGCGAACCAGUCGGACGCCGUGUCGUCAUUCGUCACGCUGAGGAGAUACCCCGGCACCGCCGUGGACAGGCAGGAGCGACCCAAGAGUGCCUUGGAGUGUUUGUCCUCCGAGUACCUGGGCGGCGCGCCCCCUCCCCACCGCGGUGGCCGAAUGAGCGCCGAGGAGCAGCUGGAGCGCAUGAAGCGUCACCAGAGGGCGCUGGUACGCGAGCGCAAGCGGAAUCUCAGCCAGGGCGAGCGCACGAGCGCCCCGCCGCCCGCCUCCGUACGUUACCUUCACCCCACGGCUGUGACGGCCACCGCCCCUGCGCCUUCCCGCAGAAGCCAGCCGCAUAAUAACCUAGCAGGGAUGCUAACGCGCUAGUCGCAUGAGCUAACGAGCUGCGAGCUAGCGUGGUUAAUGCUUUAAGAACAAAAAGUACGGGAGGGGCUCAAAAUGAGCGCCUUGUUGGACCUCACUGAGACGCUGAUUGUGAAAGCCAAGGCAUUUAUUUAUCUACUGAGGGUUAUUUUCAAUAUACAGCUGUACAUAUAUAUAUAUAUAUAUAUAUAUAUAUAUAUAUAUAUAUAUAUAUAUAUAUAUAUAUAUUAAAAAAAUAUGAAUAUAUUUUGUAGAGAUUUGGUAUAUAUAGAUCAUCUAGAGGCCAUAGCUGGUAUGUUUUCAGGUUGGACACAAAAUAAUGCUGGUGGUUCAAGAUUAGACCAUGCGCCGCGUUCUUUUCGACAAACUCUUAAGUGCCUUGUUUCGAGCCAUCCGUUUUUGCCUUUGCCCCAAAAUUUUCAUUGAUUUUGGUCAUCACUUAUUUUAUCUUUUUAAGAUGUGUAAGUUUACGGCAAGCUGAGUUCCUCUUUCGGUUGGACACACAGAGACUUGCUAGCGUGCAUCAAAUGGACUUUUCUACUAGAUUAUCAAAGCAACGAUGUCCUGGCAUAGCCGCCAUAUAAAUUUGAGAAAAUGCUGCUUUUUUGGCUAGAGCAUCAAAGGUUAGACUAAAGCAAUUAAGUUCGUAUAGUGAGUGAUGCUAGAAAUGGUAUGACUGAGAAACGUCAGAGUUGAAUCAAAGCAACAAUGUCCCGGCAUGCACUCAAAGCGCUUAGUUGUCCCAUCAGAUUGUGCCGAUGUCGUCCCGAGUCAACUGGCGACAAUAUCUCGGUAUUCACGCCGGGGAAUUUCUCAUUUUAAUGGCUGCCUUCAACAACAUUAAAAGCAAGAUCAUUGGUUUUUCCCAAAAAGUCGUGAUGUUACGAGAAAAAAGUCAUAAUUAUAUUGAUUAAAGUCAUAAUAUUAUUAGAAAGAAGUUGAAAUGUUCCGAGAAAAAUUGUUGGAAUCGUUUAAAAAAUAAAAUUGUAAUUUAACGUAAAUAAAACCAAAUUUUAUGAAAACGUUUUUAAAUGUUAGGUCAGUGCUAAUAAUUUAUCCAAAACAUAAUCAUUUUCAGGCGGCACGGUGGCCGACUGGUUAGAGCGUCAGCCUCACGGUUCUGCGGACCCGGGUUCAAUCCCCGACCCCGCCUGUGUGGCGUUUGCAUGUUCUCCCCGUGCCUGCGUGGGUUUUCUCCGGUCACUCCGGUUUCCUCCCACAUCCCAAAAACAUGCAUUAAUUGGAGACUCUAAAUUGCCCGUAGGUGUGACUGUGAGUGCGAAUGGUUGUUUGUUUCUAUGUGCCCUGCGAUUGGCUGGCAACCAGUUCAGGGUGUGCCCCGCCUCCUGCCCGAUGACAGCUGGGAUAGGCUCCAGCAUGCCCGCGACCCUAGAGAAUAGAAGCGGCUCAGAAAAUGAAUGAGUGAAUGAAUAAUCAUUUUCAAAUGUGAGAUGUCCCGGCAAGGCCUCAAAGUGCUACUUGUAUAUAUAUCGGGUUGUGGCGAUGUUGUCCCUCGCCAAUGGCGAUAUUUCAGCAUUCACACCUGAGAAUUCCUCAUUUCAGAGACGAUUUAAAAAAAAAAAAAAAAAAAAAAAAUGCUAAGACAAACUGACUUUAUUCAUGAUCACGCAUUUUUAUUGCACUAAAUAACAUUGCUUACCAUAUUUACAUUCAAACAACAAAAUGUUUGUCUUGAAUUACUUGACAGCCCAAACGUUAUUUUUUUGGUGAUUCAGUGCUCAUCGUCCAAUCAGAUUGCGCUGAUGUCGUCCCGAGCCACUAACGUCAAUAUCUCGUCCUAGUGAGGCGAUAAUGCUAAAAAUGCCAACAUACCUGCAUAACUUACAUUGAUUAUUAUCGUUUCCUUACCUUUCCAACGUAAAGGCUUACCGCUUUUCCCAAAAAAUGUGACUGACUACCAAAGCAACGACAAGCACUAAUGGUCUCAUCCAAUUCAUCCUUAGCCAAUUGCUACAAUAUCUCAGCAAUCAAGGCGGAAUGCUAAAAAUGCUAACAGGACUGCAUAUCUUCCGUUUACGUUCACGUUUUUAGUGAAGGAUGCUAAAAAUGCUAAUGUAACACUUCCAUUUUGACAAUAGCGCACUUACUGUAUACAUGGAAACAAAAUGAAGCAAAACUAGCAUUAGUUUACGAAUUGUUGUGUUGCGAUGAAUUUAUUAUUGAAUUUAUUUAUAACCGAUGUUCACAUUAAAGGCGAGAACAAAGCAAUGAUGUCCCGACAUGGCCUCAAAGCGCUAAUUGUCCAAUUAGAUCGCUCCGUAUCCUCCCACAUCUUCUAGGAAUGAAAAGAUGACUUUACGAUAGGUGCGACACGGCCACGCUGGGCCAUAUUUGUGCCGUUUGCAUCUGGGGACCGCUACGAUAUGCUGUGAUGGAUACAUUUCUGUUUUUUUUAGCACUUCUGUUCAGAAAAUUUGUGUUUUUAGUGAGGGAUGCUAAUAAUGCUAAUGACGACCACCCGCUAAAGAACAAUCGCACUUAGGUCCUUUUAAGUUCAUAAAAAUUGCAACCAAGUGAGCAAUAUUCGGUCACCUUCUGAGACGGUGAAGCUGAAAGCCUAUUUUUAGAUGUAGUCCACCAACAUUUAAAUAUGUUUAUGCCAUUUUUUAAAAAGGAAUUGAGCGCUAGCGAUGGAUUGUUGUUCAGGAGCCACGUUGGUUUGGAGCUAUGCUGAAAUGUCUUUGUGAAGAAAUGCAAUAAUACAAAUGAUAUAUAAUAAUAAUACAAAUGAUAUAUAAAAACAGUGUAUAUGAGAAAAGUUUUAACAAGGGAGUGGAUGACGGGUGGGCAACAAAAAGGGAAACCAGUUGUAAUGGACUCGAGGCUAUGUGCCGAAAGGUAUCCCACUGAGAUAAUUGGGAAUUUAGCAUGUUGUGUGUAUGGAAUAGUACUUGAGAUGUCAACACAGGCCAAAAAUGCCACCCGUCUUCAGUAUUGUUCAUUUAACAUUAGCGUUCACAUUUAGGGGCCGCACGCUUCCGAGGCUGCUAUAAAACGGUUGAUGUCAAAAGUGCGCACGAGGUUGCAUCACUGCUAAGUAGUGAAACCUUCAAAUGCUAUUUAUAAAUAUUGAGUAUUGGCUUUUAGAUAAGUCAAACUUCACAUUUCUAUUCAUAAUGCUAACAUGUAGCUACCUAGCACUGCGGUGCAUGAAUGUUGUAAUGUGAGCAAAAGUCGUAAUGUCAUAUUUUUCCGUUUAUAUAGGUGCAAUUGCAAAGGUAAAAUUUUACACAUUUUAAUAUGAGAAUAGUUACUGUACAUGAAUUAAGUUAGAACGUAAUGAGAUUAGUCAGUCUUAAUUUUAUAUGAAUAAAGUUCAAAUCAAAUUUCAAGUUGAAAUAUAAGUAGCAAUAUGAUGUUACGAAAGUUGAAAUAUUACAAGAAGUUAUCCUUAGGUGCAGAAAGUGUUAAUACUACGUCAAAAAAGUAAUGUCAAUGUUACCAGCAAAAAAGUCUUCAUUUCACAGCACUUAAAAUAUUACGGGGAAAAAGUUGAAAUAUUACAAGAAUUAAAUUAAUGAUUUUACGAGAACAAAAUUCCAAAUAUUAUGAGAAAAAAUACUUCAUGUUAUGAGAACCCAGUAACAAUGUUACAUCAAUAAAUUGAAAAUAUUAUGAGAAAAACAUUUGGUACGCGACCAGAAUUAAGUCAUAAUUUUACAUAAAAAAGUUGAAAUAUUACGUAACUAAAGUCAAACUAUUAUGAAAGAGAUGAUUGCGUAACUGAAGUUAAAAUAAUACAAGACAUAAGUCAUACAUUUAUGCAAGGUAAAGUCAAUCUUACACGACGGAAUAUGAAAAAAUUCUGUGAAAACAUUCGUAGUGUUACGAGAACCGAAUAACCUUAAAUGAGUAAAUGGAAAAUAAUUACGAGAACGAAUUUGAAAUGUUAUAUGAAUAAAGUCCAACUUUUCCAAGAAAUAUAGUGAGAAAUCACCCAUGCAACAGCGACUUUGCGCGAGCGGCUCAGAAGGCUUUGGGGCGCGGCCAUUUUAUUUGGGUCGACGCCCACUAGUGGUCGUCAGCUACCAAUUCCAGUUCUAUUCUACCAGACCAUUUUGGAUGAAACCAUGACUCGCAGUUAAUUAACUCGCGACAUGUUAUUUUUUUUCUGGAAAGUUGGGGAGGGGGGGGGCAUUCAGCUCAAGUAGAUGCCAAGUCGAGAUGUGCCCUGCAGCGCCACCUAACUGUCACUGAGAAGCAACUUUUUGGCACAAUGUUGACAUUCGCACUCCACAAUAAAGAGAGUUUUGCCUCCCAGGCAUGCCGAUUUCCUCGUCUGUCACGUGGGCUUUGGCCCAUGUGGGUCUGCAUGUGUUUCCCCCCCCUCGCUUUCUUUCUUUCUUUCUUUUUCUUUCUUUCUUUCCUUCUUUCUUUCUUUCUUUCUUUUUCCCGAACGCAAGCACAGAAGUGGCCAGCUGCUGCCGGCUGCACCCGGAGGACGCAUUGCAUGGCUUUGGAUGAUUACUCAUAAAAGUGUUUGAUUGGCGGGAGGAGCGUCCCGGGGCCGAAGGUGAAAGCGACAAAGGUCACAAGGAGGGACGAGGUCAGUGGGUGACGGCCA